rnacentral:rRNA from 1 species
GAUGAACGCUGGCGGCGUGCCUAAUACAUGCAAGUCGAGCGAACAGACGAGGGGCUUGCUCCUCUGACGUUAGCGGCGGACGGGUGAGUAACACGUGGAUAACCUACCUAUAAGACUGGGAUAACUUCGGGAAACCGGAGCUAAUACCGGAUAACAUAUUGAACCGCAUGGUUCAAUAGUGAAAGACGGUUUUGCUGUCACUUAUAGAUGGAUCCGCGCCGCAUUAGCUAGUUGGUAAGGUAACGGCUUACCAAGGCAACGAUGCGUAGCCGACCUGAGAGGGUGAUCGGCCACACUGGAACUGAGACACGGUCCAGACUCCUACGGGAGGCAGCAGUAGGGAAUCUUCCGCAAUGGGCGAAAGCUUGACGGAGCAACGCCGCGUGAGUGAUGAAGGUCUUCGGAUCGUAAAACGCUGUUAUUAGGGAAGAACAAAUGUGUAAGUAACUAUGCACGUCUUGACGGUACCUAAUCAGAAAGCCACGGCUAACUACGUG